rnacentral:lncRNA from 1 species
UUUUCUUUUUCUUUUCUAAAACAUAUAUUUUGAUAGUGCAUAUGUAGUCUCAUCAAUGAUUUUUGUAUAUUCUACCAAUUAAUCCACCUAUUAUCCUUAAUAUAUUUUAUUUUUUUAAACUUAAUUAAGUUUGUAAUUUUUUUCUUCUAAGAUUACGGAAUUCAUUCAAUAUUCUGUUAUGAAAUUUUGAACAUGAAAUACUAAUUGAUUGUAGAGUUCUAUC